GACGAACGCUGGCGGCGUGCUUAACACAUGCAAGUCGAACGGAAAGGCCCUGCUUUUGCGGGGUGCUCGAGUGGCGAACGGGUGAGUAACACGUGAGUAACCUGCCCUUGACUUUGGGAUAACUUCAGGAAACUGGGGCUAAUACCGGAUAGGAGCUCCUGCUGCAUGGUGGGGGUUGGAAAGUUUCGGCGGUUGGGGAUGGACUCGCGGCUUAUCAGCUUGUUGGUGGGGUAGUGGCUUACCAAGGCUUUGACGGAUAGCCGGCCUGAGAGGGUGACCGGCCACAUUGGGACUGAGGUACGGCCCAGACUCCUACGGGAGGCAGCAGUGGAGAAUAUUGCACAAUGAGCGGAAGCCUGAUGCAGCAACGCCGCGUGCGGGAUGACGGCCUUCGAGUUAUAAACCGCUUUCGCCUGUGACGAAGCGUGAGUGACGGUAAUGGAUAAAGAAGCACCGGCUAACUACGUG
rnacentral:rRNA from 1 species